rnacentral:tRNA from 1 species
CAGAGUAUAGCUAAGAUAGAAAAGCAUCUCCCUUACACUGAGAAGUCAUCUGUGCAAGUCAGAUUACCCUGA